rnacentral:rRNA from 1 species
AGAACGAACGCUGGCGGCAUGCCUAACACAUGCAAGUCGAACGCUCACCGGGCUUCGGUUCGGUGGGAGUGGCGCACGGGUGAGUAGCGCGUGGGAACCUGCCCUGUUGUGGGGGAUAACCGAGGGAAACUUCGGCUAAUACCGCAUGCGCCCGGGGAAACCCGGGGAAAGAUUUAUCGCAGCAGGAGGGGCCCGCGUCGGAUUAGGUAGUUGGUAGGGUAACGGCCUACCAAGCCUUUGAUCCGUAGCUGGUCUGAGAGGAUGAUCAGCCACACUGGGACUGAGACACGGCCCAGACUCCUACGGGAGGCAGCAGUGGGGAUAUUGGACAAUGGGCGCAAGCCUGAUCCAGCAAUGCCGCGUGAGUGAUGAAGGCCUUAGGGUUGUAAAGCUCUUUCGCCCGCGACGAUGAUGACGGUAGCGGGAGAAGAGCCCCGGCUAACUUCGUGCCAGCAGCCGC